GGUCCAGAGUGCUACUUCCUAGGAAGAUCUGUGCUGACCUCCUGUGGGUGGAAGCAAGUGCAUCCAAAUCGCUCACUACUUUCUUGCCCCAGCCAGCAGGUGAUGAUUUUGGACCUACUUCCAAGUGCACAGGUGAAAACUGGAAAACUGCAUUUGGUCCUUCUGCUCUGCUCAGGAACCCCUGUCUCUAUCAAGUAAAUGAUUGUUUCUUCCUGAAAUGUUCUGUUGAAGGUCAAAAGUUUUAAAGAUCUCUUUUCUGAGUUUGUGGUCAAUGUCACAUACCAUGAAGACAAGGAAGGAAAGACACGCUCUCUUGUACUAAAAAAAGAAAAAAGAAGUCAUUACAUUGGAAGAGGCCCGUUCCCAAGAUUUUUCAACUCUGAGGGAGUGUCAGUCAAGCUAUGAAUGAAAGGACAGUUUGUCAUUUGUGUAGACAGCACCUGGGGAACAGAUACACACUGUAACUUCUUGUAUGUCUGCAGAGACAAACAUCAACAAAAUGGUUAAUAAAGUUAUUAAACACAGA